AAGGGUUUAGUUUAAAAAAAAACAUUAACUUGUCAAGUUAAAAAUAUUUUUAUAAAUAAUUCUUA
rnacentral:tRNA from 1 species